ensembl:lncRNA
UCUCAGUGAGUUCUCAAGGUGUUCAUCAGAGAUUUUUGACCUAUAUUUUCCCUUCUUGCACUUCAUCCUUGAUGUUGAUUACAAAUAUACAUACUGCCAAAAAGCAAUGGCAUCAAUAAGGUGUGACUGUGAAGCAAGGGAUAUCUCUCUCUCUUAUAAAAGUCUAGAAGAACACAAGGGUACUUCAUAAACUUCAAGUAAUUGAAGUUCUGCUUUAUCUGCUUUUCAUUCCCUAAUGGACCUUCGUCCCCCAAAAGACUGAGAUGAGAUGGGUAUGUCCUGAUUAAUGCGGACUAUUUACCAUUUCUGCUGAUAAGCUGGGGGGAUGCAUUAAAUCUGCCUCAGCAAGUGGCAGUGAAGUUUCAAAUAGUAACGAGGACAGCUGCAUCUUCAUUGACUCCUGAAAGUCAAGUGUCUCUAAACCCUUUCUCAGCUUAUAAGACUGCUGAUGUGAUUCAUUUAGUUAUGAAACUGUAACAUCAAGGUUUUUUGCUGUCUUUUGUGUUGGUGGAAAUACUACUAGCUUUAGUUACGAUGACAUUCCAGGUAUUACUUUCUAUGGUUUUUGGACAGUAGUUCGUAUCAAGCCAGAGACAUAUGCUGAAUGAGCAGUAAAACAGCCCACAUCCUAGACUGGAAUUUGAAGCUAUAGAGGUAGACAAGUAGUUGAUAAUUACAUGAGGAAAUGAUGGAUCUGAGUGCUCAGCUUCCUCAGCUUUGUGCAUCUCAGACUUCAUGGAUCAGUACUGCAUGUUCUUGUUGUCUGAGAAAGAAACAGUAGUGAUUACUUGGAAUAUUGCAAGCCCUUUUUGUGCUUGUCAAGGUGGUUUUAGCUCGUUAUAUGUUUUUUGUUGUUUUUUCCUGCAGUACUGAAAAACUGCAUGAAAUUUAGAUUUCAAAUGCACCUGAGCAUAAUCUCAAUUUGAAAGCAGAGGGGAAAGAAGUAGCUACUUUGCUCAUUUCUGCUUCAAAAUAGAGUAAAAGCGGGAUCAGAAAUGUAUAUAGUCCUCUGGUAGUGGACUGCCAAUAUAGUCUUUGCCAGCACAAUUCAGAAUGCCAGUCUCUCCUCCUUGUAAUUCCUCUGCUGCUAAAGAAUCAGUGGACCAGUAGCCACUACUCCCUUUCUUUUUUCCAUACCUUUAGCAGCAGUCUUGUAGUUUGCAGCUCUUGCCUGACCUUUUGUUCUUUGUUUAUGCUUUUUUUUUUUUUUUUUUUUUUUUUUUUUUUUUUAACCCUCCUCCCAGCUGCAUUCAUUUCCUUAGUGGUCAGUGAACUUUCCCAGCCCCCUCUAACUACUUCCUUGUUUCUGCUGCUCUGACCAUGUUCAAUUUUACUCUCAAGGAAGACAACAGUUUCCUUGGGAGGACUUCUACUGUUUCUACAGGACUGAGAAGCCUUGAAAUUAUCCCAAGCAGAGAUUAUGAUGAAGAUGAGGGAAAAUGUGACAUUCAUGAGUAGCUAAACAAUCCUGUGAAUCACAGUUGUGUGAGAAGAGGUUGGAUGGCUUCCUCACCUUGAAAGCUUGAUUGCAAUUGAUGUGGUAUGACUGUAUGAAGGGAAGCAGUUCGGAAUAUAUUAGGAAUAAACCAGUGAAGCUCUAUUGGAAGGCUCGGAGUGAAUCUGUGACCAAGUUAGCUGGACUGGGAACGGAUUGUAAAAGAGAAGGCAGAAGCUAGUUCCAUAAGUGCAGUUCAGAAAAAAACAAACCGUGCUUUCAUGCUGUUAUUAACACAGUUAAUUGUAAAGAUCAUAAUUGUACAGCAGUUUAUUCUCUUUCUGUAUACUCUGAUCAUAUGUGAAAUAAUACAGUUGAUGCAUAAUCAUUAAUAAAUUUAUUAAUAAAUUUAUAUUCUGAC